rnacentral:rRNA from 1 species
CUACCACUUACAGAUGGACCCGCGGCGCAUUAGCUAGUUGGUGAGGUAAUGGCUCACCAAGGCAACGAUGCGUAGCCGACCUGAGAGGGUGAUCGGCCACACUGGGACUGAGACACGGCCCAGACUC